GUGAACUCCGCCCUUCCCUUCAUUUCAUUGAAAUUGCAGAUAGCUGAGGACCAUAAGGCAUAUGCUGAAGGGAAGGAUGAAAAAGUAAAGGUGGAAAUUGUCAAGGAAGAAGCAGGGUGACAAAGAAUGCAGCGAGAAGAACUAGAAGUGGACCUGCAGAAAGUUCGGGAACAAAUGCUAGCUGUACAACCCUCUGGGAAAGCAAGGAGAUAUAUGGAAGAUGGAAUGGUUGAUUUAGCUGAUUCAUCUAGGCACCCAAUAGAUAUGCAUAAUGAACUCCUCUGUGCUCAAGAGACUAUUAGAAUACUUAGAAGGGAGGUUUCUGAGAAGGAAUCAGAGAUUGCUCAGUGCAAUGCACAUAUCUCAGAGCUAAACGUUCAUGUUGAGGCAGUGGCACAAGAAUACAAGCACAAGAUGAAUUCUAAGAAAGAUGAAGAGCUUAGUGCUACGAAACAACGUAUUGUGGAACUCGAGGGCAUAACAGCUAGGAGACAAAGGGAGGUGAGGUUAUUCUUAAUUUUUCACUUCUUUUUGCCUACCUUUUUUUUAUUUUUCCAACUUAUAUUUUUUGUUAUUUUGUUUGAGGAUAUUCAUGUUGAAUGCGAAAUUAGCACCAGUAGAGAGCAUGGCGCCCAUAUGGGGUUCGAGAUAUGCUUGGGGUUAAAAUAAACAUGACAACUUGGACGCUGUAGACUGACCCUAGAGCAUCUAUCAAAGGAACCAGACAGCGAUCAUGAGUUUAGGAGGCAACGGAGGGCAAUAACAAGGACUCAUCUGACACACAAGUUAAACUGAAGUUCCAACAGGUCUUGCAUCUUAUGGCUUCACAUUCGCCAUUUAUGUUUCAUCUAUACAUCAAGGUAUUGUAGUAUAUCAGUGUUGAGUAUAAUUUAAAGACUAUCGGAGUGGCUACUGAUUGCAAAUCAAAUUUUCAGGCACGUUCUGUUCCUAUACUGUCUGCUGUCAAAAAUAGAUAUUAUAAGGUUACUGAUGGGGCUUUGCGGGCGUGCGGAGAGACAACCUCGGUUGUUUUUAGACCAUACAACUCUAUGUGGUCGAUUACAACAUGCUUUGGGAUUGAUUUCAAAAAAACAAAAAACAAAUGCAUAAAUAUGAGAAAGAAGCUAAAGAAAAGGAUUCUGGGAGUUGAGGAGAGUGCUUCACAACAAGAGAUAGAGAAGGCGUAUCACAAAUUGGCUCUGCGCCUCCACCCGGAUACGAAUCCUGGGAACGAGCCAAAGAGAAGUUUCAGCAGUUGCAGAAGGUUAUAUCCAUUCUUGGAGAUACAUAGAAAAGAGCUUUAUAUGAUGAGACUGACAUCAGUGAUGACGAUACAAUCUUCAGGAGUACUUCCGAACAAUGUACAAAAAGGUAUGAUUGCUUCUAUGUUAGUUGUCGGCUAAAAGAGUUAAGUGUACUACUUUGGCAAUUUGCCAAAUUAGUAAUUUUGUGCAAAUGUAUCUGAAUAAUUUUGAUUCAAAAGCUAGAGGACAGACAACCAUGGCCAAAAGGGUCAUAGCAGACUUGCUAUUGUGUUUCUUGUUUAAUGAUUGACACCUUUGUUUUGAAUGAAUGAGAAUAAUUAUGAAUAUGGCUUGGUUUGUUGUAUGGAUUCUACACUAUCAAAAUUAUUCUGUUAAUAGUAGUUUAGAACAGCUAUUUGAACGACCACUAAAUACUAUAGAAAAAAAUGGACUAGCAUGACUAUAGCCAAAACCAUUGCAUGUGAUUUUAUACCACACAUUGCCACCGGCUUCAGAUUGCAGAGCACUCAAACUUUGUCUCUGCUAACCCUUUGUUGCCAUCUGUUGCCAUCGACUUAGUUAUUGCCAACUGACAUUUUUAAACUCCUUUGGUAGCUUGCUAUUGAGGACUGAUGAAAUGUUGUUGCUUGGCAUCACACGACACAAAAUGUUUUAUAAAUUAGAUUUUUUGUAAUAUGCCAUUGAUUUUUAAAUACCAUCCCAUGUGAUACUUGCCCUGAAAGCGUUAUAUGUGUUUUUUGUUAGGUGUUUUUGUUUCAUGAUUAUUGCCAGUUUCAUGAUCUAUGUCCUAUUGUAUAUGUAAUCUUCUCCCUAGAUUUAGCUAGAGAGCUUCUACACGAUUUCAACUUCCACAAUGGACAAAUCACCAUUUCAAGUUCUACAAUGGGCUGUCUCAUUUACUAGACAUUAGAUCCUGUUUUCAACCACUGUAGGGCGCCCGAAGGGGCGCCUGAUGUUCUAGUGGAUGUUGGAGACGAAGGGGAAAUGCAUGCUCAGCCUUCAUGCUCUGCUACUGUGGUACAGAAUCUUCGAUCUUCGCCGUCUGAGAUGAUGCAUGCAUGACGUGGCUUGGGAGUUAGGAGCGCGCGAUCUACCUGAGUCUAGAUGGUGUUUGGUUCACAAGCGGUAAUAAGUUUUAAUAGAUCAAUAUCAAUUUUGAGUAUGGUAUUCGAUUGAUUACGAUCGAACUUCAACUAGCAUGGUUUAAUGUUAUUAGUUACCUAUUAUGUUGUAAAUAUGUGAACCAAAUAACACCUUUGGACUUGUUUGGUUUGCGGCUCUUAGCGCCAUUUCUAACAGCUCUCGUAUCUCAAUCUCUAUCUCUACUAUUUUAAACUAUAUCAUGUAAACAAUAUUAUCUAAAAUACCAAAACAUUAUUUUCCAUGACCAACUGUCUAAGCGUACGAUAGUUCGCAUUUGGUCUACUGUUCCAAUUAAGACACGUCAUAUUUUCUUAGCACUUUGUUUCAUGACAAACUUCGUCACAAGUAUGAAUUUGUUUUUCUCGCUGUACCCUGCCACAAGUUGCCAUAUUUUUCUCAGCACUUUGUUUCAUAAGGCUGUUUGCUGCUUCAACAGGGGCAGCGUAACUGCGUAACCCCACAAAAGAUACAGGCGGUGGCGCUCGCUGAUUCGCCAUCAUUUCUCUUUUCGCGCAACACAACACAGGUCUAUCCUAACGGCGGACGGCCAGUGGAAAUGGAAACUGCGCUUAUCCAAUAGACCGAUACGGAGUACCACCUGACGACCUGGUCAACCAUGAUGUGCAUAUGAAGUGGUCGGAGUUGGUGCGUGUGAUGCUGGUGGGUGGUGCUAGGCAUGCUCCAUUCCUCCCUGUGUUCCUACUGACUGACUGAUGCUGCAGAGAUCCUGCUCUGCUCUUCACCAUUGUGAUGCACUGGAGUAACCAAACAAUAGAGAGUAUAAAGUCAUGAUGAGCGAAGAUGAUGUAUCUGUCUUCCACUGAAAAGUGCAAUUGCCGCUCAGAACAAAAUUCGGGUCCAUGAGUGAUGUAUGAGCAUGUAUUAGAACUAAGUACGGAUUAAAGUCAAAUGAACAGGUAUGACUUAAAUAUUGUCUUCAGCCUUUUUGGAUGAGAG